GCUAGGUCACAUUCAGCCAAAGCUCUGGUAUCCUGCAGUUACAGUUUCAGCUUGGCAUAUUACAUUCCUACUGCAGAGUAUAUUUUUGAUGCAUUUUGCAUAAAGCGCUCAUAUUUCUGUAAAACCAGCCAGGUAUACAUCAUCUUCUUUGCUGCGUUCAUCCCCCCGAACUGCUCGCAGACCUUCUGGGGAAGAUCCUUGCUCCUGCAGGUGUAAGGCACCUCCAGUUCAGUCAUCGUCACGCUUAGCUGGAUGACACUUGCGUCCAUGGCCCGGAUGAAAUUCUUCCCACAGAUUGCUUCUGGGUCAUUUCUUAUGGUUUGCAAAAUAUUGUAAAAAACGUGCAUGCAGCAACCCGCAUCCAGAGGUGGGCAUUCGGGUAUUUUCUUCGCCAUUGCUUUGACUUGGGUGUCAGCAUUUAGCCAGCUUAAGGUUUUCGGUGUAACGAUGCUGCAUGCGUUCUGCAGGGGAGGAGGAGGAGAGAGAAAUCGUUAAUCUUUUGGUUUGCAUCUGUCCUGGUAGUUUCCACAUUAGACUGUCUAGGAGCAUGCACAUCUAUUUUUCAGCUUGUGUCUGCUUGAGGGUUUUUUGUUAUUGUUCACCGGCUGUAUUAACACCUACGCUCCUUUAUCAAGCAGCUAUUAUACACUAUCUGUGGCUAUGAUUGCGCAGCACUUUCUAUCUUAAUAACCUGCUUGGCAUUGUUUUCAGCUUUUCUGAGUCUUUUUUUAAACCAUAUAGGUAAAAUUUACUCAUGCAACACAUUUGCUGGGACCAGAAUAAAUCUGCUUCAGCAGAAAUGGUUUUGAUUUCAAGAAUGAAUUCAGGGGAAACGUUUUAUACUGAUUUUUAUCAGCGUAUUCUUGGGAACACGUUCCCAGGAAUUGAAAUUUGCCCGUGGUAUUGACUUUCAGCUUCAGUGAACGUUUUGCUGUCUCCAAGGAAAUGCCAGGCUGAGCAGGAUUUUCUGCAGAAGUGCUCCUGACUGCUCUAAUAUUAAGGUCAGACUGAAGAGGAAGGCAAUUCUCUCCAUCUUUCCAGUGAUCUGACUGGUUUCAUCCCAAAAGCUGCCUGCUUCAAGCUUGAUGUGACUCAGGAGACAAAGAAAAAUGCGCAAGUCUGGAAGACCACAGCUGGCACACCCAAGCUGUCCUAGACAUUGCUCCAACUGUCCUAAAAUAAGACAACACAAAUGCUUUCCUUCUUGUAUGGAAUACAGAGAGGUGCCUCUUCGAGGUUCUAACCCAACUAUUUAUUUUCUCAUGGUCUUCCUAGUAUUAUGUAACUAAAUCAAAGCAUUCCUCCCCAGACACGGGCCCAGCAAAUGCAAAGUAUUACACUUACGUAGUUUUUAAACAAGGUAGUUGCUUGCUUUUCUAGCACUAGCAGGGGCCUUAUUCUGGAAGUAGAAUGCCUCUGCCUCUGGUCUGUAGUAGUUUUGCCAUCUUCGGAUGUUGGUGCCAAGGAGACCAAAGGAGCCAGUGAGCAGAAGAGGAAGAUUACAAAUCUGGUGAUUUCUGCAUUCAAAUGAAAAAAAAGAAAAAAAAAAAUACAAUGAGUACAGUCUCAGGCGUCUACACCGUUUUUGCAAAACUUCCUGGUUCUUUGCAGCGUGCUAACUUUCUAAAGCAGAGAGACUUUGAGUGGCUGAGCUAAUGACGAGCAUCAACCAACGCAACCUUACGGCACGGUUAGGUCGCACCCACCUGUCUGGCGUUUCAUGGCGGGCUCAGGCGGCGGCUGGCUUGGCCAAAAGCUGGUGGGACGUCGGCGUUCAGGCUGCUUGGUGGCUGGAGUGCUGCGGCUGGGGACAGCCGAGCUGCGUUUAAGUACAGCGGGUUUUUGCGUCAGUGGCUCCCCCAUGUUCUCCUGCAGAUGAUGGUGUGGGAUUUUUUUUCUUUUUUGAAAGAUUACAUCAAAAAUUGGUUCAAAUGCGUCGUCACUGAUUGUGAUCUAGCAUGCAGUUUCAAACUGACACAGAUGGUGUCCCACAUCAUCUCUUUGACUGGGAGUGCAGGACUCUUGGCUUAGCCAUCCCAUCUAAAUCCCUGGGAGCUCCAAAAUGUAGGACUUUAACCUUCCUUUUUGGUUUUUGUGCCUUUUUCUUUUUUCCCAGCAUGAUGGAGCACGUAAGCAUGCACCCGGGUUGUUGAAGCCAGCAACCAUCUCCUGCCGGGGCCAGUGUAAGAGUGGGCUGACGGUGGCAGUGGAAAACCCAUGAGAGGCUUCCAGAUGAGCGUAUGUAUCCCCCUGCUGGAUCUCUGUAAGACCCCAUCCCAGUGGUGUAACACCCAGUGCACCCCAUCAGCAGAUGUCCAGGAUCCACCUCCUCAGCUCUCGCCCUUCUCUCUGACUGCCAAACCUGUUUUCUCUGUGCCCAGUUACUAAAAGCAGGAGAUUCUCAAACACAGCAAAACAAAAAAUACUCCUAGGGCUUAGAAUUAUUUGGGGGUAUCACGGAGAGAGGUGUUUCUUUGUGCAGGGUGCUCUUUCAGACAAUGAGUGUGGACAGCUCCUUCCAGGUAGAACCGUGCUGAAGGAGCGCUUGUUUGGAAGCACCGAAGAGCAGAGGGAUGCAGCUGCUUAGAGCCCCACCGUGCAUUACGAGGUGCGUGGAUGACGUGAGAGUUUGCACAUGUAGGAGCACACUGGGCACCGGGCACUGCCCGUCCCCUUCCAACCCUGCCACCCUUCGCAAAGGGAUCACUUCUGGACUGUCCCUGCCACAGCAGCAGUACAGGAGAAGCUUGCAGCUCGGCUUUUCCCCAGAACAAAAUUCAGCCGCUGGCAAUGCUCUUUCAAAGAAUUUCCGAAAGUUUGACUUCAUUUUCUGCCGAACCGAGGGUAGCAGUUUGCCUGGUUAUUCCACUUCGAGCCAUGCCUCAAUCUCUUGGCGUGUGCGUGCUCCACACAUCCUUUCCUAUCUGUGCAGCUGCAAUAAGCUGCCGAGCUGAUAAGGGAGCAGAUCGGUAUCCGUCCUGUAAAACCCAACGCGAGUGGAAGUUCAGUGUUCCACCACGCAACCGCCAGACACCGCAGAGCAUCUGCAAUUUACUUGGUGAAGUUUUGCUGACACGAGCUGCUCUGCAAGCUCCCUAAAGUGGAAUUUGUCACUAUCACCUCCACACCUAUCGCUGGAAAAAACAGAUAAACCCCUGAGUGGGGAGACCUGGGUCUGACAUCAGACAGCGCUGGGGCUUUUGUCCCUGGGCUCAGCGACUUUUUCCAAGAGCAGGUGCUGGUACUUUUAGCUGUGAACUUUGUUUUCCGAUGGCCUUGUGGUGCUGCGGCAGCGGUGCCCUCCGCACAAGCGAUUGGGGUGCUUUUACUGAGCACACGACUGCUUCCUCCCUGAAACUCGAGUGACUCUCAGGAUGUAGAUAAGUGAAAUGGCAAAUGCUGUGCUACAGGUCCUUGGCCAGGGGACGGGGCUAAUGCUGCACCUUGUAAAUGCCACCCACUCUUUCCCUGGUGGGGAGCAGCCUUCAGAUCCCAGAGGGAGACCGGUAAAAGCCUGGGAUUUAUUCCCAGCCUGCAGUGCCGUCCCACGCUCCCUUCACGGCCUCACAGAGCCCGGUCCCCAGGGCAUCGCGUCCCCGCCAUCUCCUAGCGACAGGGACACGUGCCAAGAGCCAGGGAAUUCUGGAUGGCGGCGCCUGGCCCCCGCCGCCUCUCGGCUGCUUUUUGGGAGCACCUGCGGUGCCUGGGCCUGCGGGACUUCCCCUGUGGCCUUGGCAGCUGGAAUAAGUCCCGCUUCAGCGCACGCACGAGCCCCUCGGGGCAGGAGGAGGAUGAGGACCUGCCACUGGGCGAGGAGAGCCCCGAGGCACUGCUGGAGCUGCUGAGAGACCCACACAGCCCCUGGGCCCUGCCGCCGGGCUGCAGCCCCCAGGACCAGCAGCUGCGGGACGUGGCCGUGCAGGCACCCCAGCUUGUCCGUGGCACCCGCGUCCUCCAGGUCUUCAGGUCCCUGCGGAUCGUCGGCAAGGAUGUAGAGGAAGUCGACGAGGAUCUGCUGCAGUUACAGCACCUGGAGGAGCUCAUACUCUGUGCCAACCAGAUCAGCAGGGUAACCUCGGCCAACCUGCCCCGGACAUUGAAGGUCCUGGAGCUCUGCUGCAAUGCUGUGGCUGAUCUGCAGGAGCUGUGCGCUCAGCCCCCUCCGCAGCUGCAGCACCUGGGGCUGGGGUACAACAGGCUGUGCGGCCCCUCGCAGGACAAGUACCUCACUGCGGACUUCUGGCCAAAUCUCAUCUCCCUUGACCUGAGCUUUAACAACUUAACAGAGCUGCUGGGGCUGGUCUCCCAGCUGUCCAGUCUGCAGAAGCUCCGCGUCCUGGUGCUCCAAGGGAACCCUCUGGCUCUUGUUCCUGCUUACAGAGGCUUCGUCGUGGACAGCCUGCCCCAGCUGUCCGUCCUGGACGACAUCCACGUAGGGCCCGACGAGAGGCACCAGUUCCGUGGUUUGGCGAGGCAGCCAGAGCUGAUAAGAAGUGAAGCACAAGUGGUUGUGAGCAUUGGGAAAAUCAAGGGAGUUCCCGAUCCCAGCACUCUCCAGGGACUGGAGGUUGGCUCCGAGGCACCGGUGAUCACCUACAGCUACUGCGUGACCUACGAGUUUGUGGAGGGAGAGGAGAUGGAGGACGGCGGCAGCACUGAGGUGAUGAAAAUUCAUCAGAGUCCUGUGGUGGCCACCCUGGGUGCGGACAGCUCUGCAAGGGACACGGGGGGAACAAAGGGCCAGCAGGAGUCUGCAGCCACGGAGGAGCCCAUGACACAUGCUGCACAUUUGUUUGUCACCCCUGGAAGGCCCUGGGCAGACACCAUUGACUGCAGCUACAGGAGGGAGCACACUGCCAAGGACUUAGUGAGGCUGAAGGGCUACCUGGAGGCUGGAACGAUCGUCUCAGUCGUGGAGGAGAAGGUGCUCUCGUGGCCUGUUGAUGCUGACUCAGAAGAAAGUGCAGUAACAAACAAGAAGGCAGGCCAGGGGCUAAAGAAGGACAGUGCCAAGAGUCCUGUGCCCAGGGACAAGCAGAAGCAGAAGCAGCAGGAGAAGAAAAAGAAGAAGAAGCCGUGUGAACUCCGCAGCGACCCACCCAUUCGGAGAACCCUGGGCUCUGGGAGAGUGAGCCUGGAGGCCCUGCUGGCCACUGAGGACCUGGUGACAACUGUGUGUGACUUUGGGAUCCUCGUCACCGAGCAGCCGCUGCAGCCACCGAGUCUGGAGGAGAAAGUGGACAAGAAAAAAGGCAAAGAGAAGAGCAAAAAAACGAAAGCAGAGAGUCAGGCCAGCCGGAAAACCACAGCAUCUGCCAAAGGAAAAAGAAAAACCAAAGACUCCGCUGAGCCGGAGGAGGGCCGAGGGCUCGAGGCAGUGCCGUUGACAGUGGAAUUCCAGGUGCAGCUGCUGCGGUGGCCCUUGGCUGCUGCUCAGAGCCCGGCGAGCGCUGCAGUGGCGGUGGGGAAGGCUCAAUAAGGCGGCCGUGGCCGGAGCGAGUGAUAGAGGUCAGUGAAAUAAAGCCCACGGGGACACUGCUCGACCGACUGCUGGGGCUGCUGAGUCUCCAGGGCUGUGGGAUGGAGCGCGGUGGGCCUGGAUCCCGCACCGGAGGUUGCGAUGUAUCCCAGGAUUAAAAACCUGGCGCUUUAUGCCUUGUCGGUCACGCUGCUGGCGUGUCUUUUUUAUCUAAAGAGAGAGGC